CAGGACGCAAAACUACAAAAUCAACACUCAUGUAAGAUCGAAAGCUUCUCAGCAUUUUAUAACUUGCUGGCUGUACAUUUCUAUUUACAAGAGGAAACUUGACUAUUUAGAUACAUACACCAAGAACGAAUAAAUGAAAUUCUCACUAUGUUUACUGCUUCUGUCACAAGUGUAACAAAGGAUGCCAUGUUUUCUGCUUUAAAAUAGGCUCGCUCUGGUCUGUGUAUUAAAAAGAAUGAUUGUAUCUCACCUAAUGCGAAUUUUCCUAUUUACUUCAGCCUGCAAAACCACAAGCAACACAACCAGCUUGGCAAAUAAUUGCACGUAAUGGCAUUUGUCAAAUGUCAUCCAACAAAACCUUAAUCAAUUCAAAAUAAUCCCCGUUGAUAUUCUUCCAUUUAUAAUGUGUUUCUUUAUUUAUGAAAGAUUUUCAGAGGUUAGGCAAAAAUUUCAAGUAUUUGUGGAACCCAUUCGUUAGGCAACAUUCAUUUGUAUGUAAACUCACCAGACUGAGUCCCACGUGCACGUGUUGGCCUAUUAUGUCUACAACCUGAGGGCCGUGAUCUCUGGGCUUGGCCGAGUAUUCUUUGGAUGAAAUCCUGCACAUGAUUAUAAAUGCUGUAUGCCAGCAAAUCAGAAAAACAUAUCAAGAAAAGUCGAGUUUUGAUAAAGAGUUAUGUUCUUUUGAGUGGUAAGGUAAAAAAUAAAUUUAAGGAAUAGUUCCUAUAAAACAUUUGUAAUGACAACAAAAUCGCUGCUCGUAAAAUAUGCUCAUCUUUUCUUAUAAUUCUCAAGCUACACACACGUGCAAAGAUUAUAAAGUUUAAAAAGCCAAAACUUAAACCCAACCUUUCCUGAAUAUCAAAAUAGCCAAAAGUGUCUUGAUUGUAAUUUUUUUCCUGUUUCUUUCUGGAACUCUGAUAUUUUUAGACCCAAGUCAAGGAACAAGAAUUGUGUCAUCUAUAAAUUAAGCAUAAACAUGUUUUAAAUCUGGUGCAAACAUUACCUAAGGCGAUGCCUAUUGCAGGCUGUGAAGAAGGCAACAAAACCAUAAAAUAUACUCCUAAGAGCACAAAAAACCUGAAAACAUUAUUGCGACCAAUAAGAACCACUGAAUAAUGCGGUACUAUCAUCAUAUGCAACCGUAUAAACCUCUUCUAACCUGAGAAAAAAGAUCAUUCCA
rnacentral:misc_RNA from 1 species